GUUUGGAUACUUUUUGCUCACACUUGAGUACAUUCUUUUAAAGGUUACCGUUUCAGCACAAUUUAAGAUGGCCUAUCCAUCUGACAGGUAAAGAAGUUUUUAAAAAGAUGCAAAUUAAAGCAAAAACAUGCUGCUUUUAAUAGAAUUUGAAAAAUAUUUUUUGUUUUCUUUUGGGAUAAACAAGAGUCUGGAAUAUUGAGGUGUUUAUUUUAUAACACCAUACUAAAAUAUUAACUUUAAAAAAAAUAAGGAAAGGCUACCACUCCUCAUGAUGUUACGUCACAGGUGACACACCUAAGCAGUCAGUCACAGGUGGACUUUAUUACCGGUACUAUCAAAACACAGGUGUGGGCGUGGUUUGGGUUCAGUCACUGUAUUUCCGCGGGUGCCGCGAGGAGCGAAACGCCAAGAACAGAAUCGACAUCAGAUUAAACAAAGAAAAAGCAAACAUGCGGUUCAUUUUACCAGCUUCGUUAUUUCUAGUUGCUGGUUUAAUUCCUGCUGUCACGGGCUCGGUUUCUGGCCUUCCAGAGGACUUGGAAGGAUCAGGAAUUGAUUUGGAGAGUUCUGGGUCAGGAGAUUGGUCAGAUCAUGUUUCUCCCGUUGAAGGUAAAAACAUAGAUGAGGAGCCAGAAGGAGAUCAUUUAGGAGUGGUACACAAUCCAAUGGAUUCUGGGAGGAUGAAGCUACCAGCUGACACUCUGAUGGCUUCUUCUACUAGAAUUUCCACGUCCGGAUUUGUGUUUUUGGAAAAUGGCAGGCCUUUUUGGGAAAAGGAAGAAGUUCUGGCUGGCAUGAUUGCAGGGGUUCUAACGGGAGCGGCAAUCGGAGCUACGAUAACAGCAAUAUUGAUCUACAAGUGGAAGAAAAGGGAGGAUGAAGGGGGGCUUCUGGGCAAAAGAGAAAUCACAUAAAUUAUACUAAUAUAAUAAUUUUUGCCAUCAAAAUGUUAAAGCUGCUUAACUUUUUGUUUUUGUUUUGGGGAGCUGCUGUAAAUUUUCCCCUUUCUCUCUAGAGCCACAAUGUAACUAAUUUCUCAAAUAAUAUUGAUAGUUUUCCUUACAUUAUUAACCAAAAGUUUUUCUUUUACACAUGGCAACGGUGAGCCAAUGUGUAUAUGGUUUUAAUUUGAUUUAAAAAAAAAAUCUAUUUUAAAUGAGACUUUGUUCAUAAAUCUGUGGGGUGAUUAGGCUAUAUAUAUAUAUAUAUAUAUAUAUAUACAUUGUAUUUUCCAUUUAUUUAUUUGAUGGCCUCUUUUUUCCGAGCAUUUUAUAUUAAAAAAUAAUUACAGGUGAUUAAAAACCCUUUAAAUCCUUUUAAUCCUACUUUCUAUAGCCACAAGCAUGAUUUUUUUCCCCCACCUACAGUUAAACUUAAAUCUUUUUCUAUUUCGACUAACACUGACCUAUGCAUAUUUGGGUCUGAUUCAUGUAAAUGUUUAGUUGUUUUGACGUAAAAAGAAAUGGCAAAAGUCUAAGGCUACAACUUUUCCUUCCAUAAAAUACAAUAAAUGUACUUGUCUUGUUCUAAAUAUGCCAACAGACCACAUUAAGCUUCCAUUAAACCACAAACAUCUAAUAUAUUUGCAUAUUCUCUGUAAAUAAAGUACUUCAUGAAGACCACUUUUUGCAUGUGAUGCUUUUGGCAUUAGUGGGUCACAGGUCAGUUUUGAUUCAUACAUUUCCAAGAAAAACAGACCAACAGAAAUCAGAAAUUUCUGCCAUUAAAAAUAAAUGUUAAAAGGAUUAAUUUUUGCUAGAGUCAAGGAUAUAUGUGGUUUGUUCAAGGUUUUCUUCAUCAGAGAUCCCUCUACAUGUCACCAUGUUGUUUAUCCAGAGAAGGGCAGUAGUUUUUAAGCUCCUAUUCCUAUUGGCAUAAAGGCAAAAGUAGGGUGAUAAGUUGUCUGCUCACUGCAGGGCUGUUAUUUAAUUUUUUUUUUUUUUUGUUGUUUGAAGAAUCCAGAAGUCAUUUUGAGGACUUUUGCAGCACCGCCCCAUCCAUUCCAGUGAUCUCAUCAGUCAUGGGUGAACCCGUGUGUUUAGUAUAGCUACUCCAGUCAUCUUUCUCAGAAACGCUCAGUUUCCUUUUCCAUUUUUACCAAAAAUAGGAUCCUUAACUUGGCUGAGUGAACAUCUGUUUUUCUGUUUUCGAUGCUGUGAAUGGAAGAUGUGCUAUCUGCAAGCCAGAUAAUUUUUACUGAACUGUCUGUAUACAUGCCCAGCUUUACUCUGUGUGUAAAAACACCGCAAAUGGAGAAUUUCCAAAAGGUUUCAUCACCAGGAGCUGUCUGUUUAAGGUGACAGUGCACAUACAAUUUCAGUUUUACCUUACUUUCAAAUAUUAUUAAAAAAAUGAAGCAACCCAAAGGUUAUAGAUUAAAAAUAUUUUUUUAAAUUAAUAAUAUACUUUAUUUUCUUUGUUACUGAAAAAGACAGGGAGCCUUAAUGCAUUUAAAAAUUGUAUUUAAAUGCUUUUUUUGUUGUUGCUGAAAAUCGGUAUGUGCAGACACAAGAGCAGGUCUAUAUUUAUCCAGUAACAGAUUAUAUUCAUCAGUUUUUCACUGAUGUUUGUAAAAAGUGCUCCUUCUGUCAGGCAGAUUGGGAAAGCAAAGAACACCUAGCUUUAAUGGCUCACCUAUUUUAUGUUGGGUUGAUUAUUUUGUCAAAAGACUGUUAAAUUGUUUUUUCUCAUAUAUAUAUAUAUAUAUAUAUAUAUAUAUAUAUAUAUAUAUAUAUAUANNNNNNNNNNCACACACACACACACACACUCAGUUUAUGAGUAUGAUUAUUAUUAUCCUUAUACAUGCAUGCAUUUUUCAUUUUAUAUUCAAACAUUUUUUUUAAUAAAUAAAAUAAAAUGAAUUUCUUUCCUGCCAUUGGCUAAAACUCAUGUCACUCACACGUAGCCCCGCCUUCUCCUGCCGUUUGUUGUCAUUCGCCGUGUGCGCAGGUCUUCUGGGCAGCGGGUGGGCGUUUCUCGUCGUUCGCUCCCUAACUGUUGACGCUGAGGACAUUUUGCCCCC
rnacentral:lncRNA from 1 species